rnacentral:rRNA from 1 species
CAGCAGUCGCCGCGGUAAUACGUAGGGUGCAAGCGUUAAUCGGAAUUACUGGGCGUAAAGCGUGCGCAGGCGGUUAUAUAAGACAGAUGUGAAAUCCCCGGGCUCAACCUGGGAACUGCAUUUGUGACUGUAUAGCUAGAGUACGGCAGAGGGGGAUGGAAUUCCGCGUGUAGCAGUGAAAUGCGUAGAUAUGCGGAGGAACACCGAUGGCGAAGGCAAUCCCCUGGGCCUGUACUGACGCUCAUGCACGAAAGCGUGGGGAGCAAACAGGAUUAGAUACCCCCGUAGUCCCUGUCUCUUAUAC